CAGCCGCCGCGGUAAUACGAAGGGGGCUAGCGUUGUUCGGAUUUACUGGGCGUAAAGCGCACGUAGGCGGACUUUUAAGUCAGGGGUGAAAUCCCGGGGCUCAACCCCGGAACUGCCUUUGAUACUGGGAGUCUUGAGUUCGAGAGAGGUGAGUGGAAUUGCGAGUGUAGAGGUGAAAUUCGUAGAUAUUCGCAGGAGCACCAGUGGCGAAGGCGGCUCACUGGCUCGAUACUGACGCUGAGGUGCGAAAGCGUGGGGAGCAAACAGGAUUAGAUACCCCUGUAGUCCCUGUCUCUUAUAC
rnacentral:rRNA from 1 species